GGUGAACGCUGGCGGUAGGCUUAACACAUGCAAGUCGAACGGCAGCACAGUACUAUCUUGCUCUUACGGGUGGCGAGUGGCGUGCGGGUGAGGAAUACAUCGGAAUCUACUUUUUCGUGGGGGAUAACGUAGGGGAACUUACUCUCAUACCGCAUACGACCUACGGGUGAAAGCAGGGGAUCUUCGGACCUUGCGCGGUUGAAUGAGCCGAUUUUGGAUUAGCUAGUUGGCGGGGUGAAGGCCCACCAAGGGGACGGUACGUAGCCGGUCUGAGAGGUUGAUAAGCCACACAGGAACUGGGACAGCGUCCAGACUCCUACGGGAGGCCGCAGUGGGGAAUAUUGGGCAACGGGCGCAAGCCUGCUCCAGCCAUACCGAGUGGGUGAAGAAGGCCUUCGGGUUGGAAAGCCCUUUUGUUGGGAAAGAAAAGCAGCAGGUUAAUACCCCGCUGUUCUGACGGUACCCAAAGAAUAAGCACCGGCUAACUUCGUG
rnacentral:rRNA from 1 species